AUUGAACGCUGGCGGCAUGCUUUACACAUGCAAGUCGAACGGCAGCGCGGGCUUCGGCCUGGCGGCGAGUGGCGCACGGGUGAGUAAUACAUCGGAACGUGCCCAGUAGUGGGGGCUAGAUCGGCGAAAGCCGGAUUAAUACCGCAUACGACCUGAGGGUGAAAGCGGGGGAUCUUCGGACCUCGCGCUAUUGGAGCGGCCGAUGGCAGAUUAGCUAGUUGGUGGGGUAAAGGCCUACCAAGGCGACGAUCUGUAACUGGUCUGAGAGGACGACCGGCCACACUGGGACUGAGACACGGCCCAGACUCCGACGGGAGGCAGCAGUGGGGAAUUUUGGACAAUGGGCGAAAGCCUGAUCCAGCAAUGCCGCGUGUGUGAUGAAGGCCUUCGGGUUGUAAAGCACUUUUGGCGGGAACGAAAAGGACUGUGCCAAUACCACGGUUCGAUGACGGUACCCGCAGAAGAAGCACCGGCUAACUACGUG
rnacentral:rRNA from 1 species